AGAAUCAACGCUGGCGGCGGUGCCUAACGACGAUGCAAGUCGAACGAGAAAGUGGAGCAAUCCAUGAGUAAAGUGGCGACCGGGUGGGUAACACGUGACUAACCUACCUUCGAGUGGGGGAUAACCUCGGGAAACCGAGGCUAAUACCGCAUAACAUCGCAAGAUCAAAGCAGCAAUGCGCUGGAAGAGGGGGUCGCGGCUGAUUAGCUAGUUGGCGGGGUAACGGCCCACCAAGGCGAAGAUCGGUAGCCGGCCUGAGAGGGCGCACGGCCACACUGGAACUGAAACACGGUCCAGACUCCUACGGGAGGCAGCAGUGGGGAAUUUUGCGCAAUGGGGGAAACCCUGACGCAGCAACGCCGCGUGGAGGAUGAAGCCCCUUGGGGCGUAAACUCCUUUCGACCAAGACGAUAAUGACGGUACUGGUGGAAGAAGCACCGGCUAACUCUGUGCCAGCAGCCGC
rnacentral:rRNA from 1 species